AAAAAAAAAAAAAAAAAAAAUAGAGCAGGAAUCUGCUCCUCAAUCUCUUAAAAAAGCAUAGUGCUAAACUCUCCCCCGUGGAGAUGAAAUGGGCAUGGAAUAAUUGGUCCAACUUCGAGGGAGUCAUGGGUCAUAUUAAAUUCCCUCCACAAGCAAAUUUGUAUGGGGGAGGAAAAGGGAAUAUCAAUCAUUUGUGCAGUUCCAGGAGCUGCUCUUAGUGCUGCCAUAGAGAUCCGCAAUGAACAGCACAUGGUAGAAACCCAAAUUAUAAAGUCCUUUCAGGAAUUGGUGACAUACCUGCAGUACCAAGUAGAAGAUCUUAGGGGACAGAAAAAGAAGACCAUUCAAAAGGCCUCCCUCAGCAAGCCCUUAGAGAACAGUUGGUAAAUGACAGGGAGUGAAGGGAACUGUUGUUGUGCAGACUACGUGACUGGCCUGAAAGGGUCAGUAACGUGUUACAGUGUUUCAUCCGGAAAGGGAUGGAUACUUCUAGCAAUAACAACAGUGACCCUGAAAGGGAUGGAUACUACUAGCAAAAACAACAGUGACUGAUUGGCAAAGGAAGAAAGAACUUAUGUCUCGGUAAGCAGAACACAAGAAACUAGGAUAAGGGAGUACAAGAACAGCUGCUUGCACACAAGCCUUUGCUUUGUGCUUUGUUUCACACUUGCUAAUUAUUUACGAUCUUGUAGUGUAUCCAGUCUAUAAAAAGAAUGAGCCUUCAAUAAACAUUGCUUUUGCGCCACCAGAGCCUAAGCCCGUCUGUCCCAGGUGUCUUGAGCUGGUCUCCGUCAAGGGAGAUAGAUGCUAGUUCCCCAGGUAGUGACUUUCCUCCAGGAGAAAAUCUUGAGGAUGUGAGAGCCCAAAAAGACAAGUUGGGAAACCUGUGAUCCUUCCCUGCCUUUAGAUAGAAACUGGGUGUGCAUGGGAAGAGACUGGCAGUGGGUAUUCUGAUGUUCGUACUGACAAAGUUCCCUGUUUGCUACGGAGCUGGCCAAAGUAAGGAAGGAUUUUGGUGACACCCUUAGGAAAUCAGUAUGUGUGGAAAGUGCCAUUAACAGAGGGAGGUAAGAUCUUGCUGACUGAAAAGGAAUCAGAGGGUUAUUGGGGACCUGGAAUAUUUUUCACCACGGGCAACCACUGCCAGUGGUCCCUUACUCCAAGAGCUGCUUAUUGGGAUGAUUACUCCCCAGGACAACUGCUGUUGAUUGAUUUGCCCCACUGUGGUCCUGUCCCUUUAACCCUCAGGGAGACUCUUCACAAAUAGUUGUGGAAGCCUCAAGAUGAUCAGGAGGAACUGUACAAAAUUAACCAUCUGGAUUUCACCUCCCUUCUAACUUUGGUUCAUUUAGGACCAGGAAGUCUUAUUUUUGUUUUGUUUUCUUUUCCAGUUUUGCUUCUUAUAACCUUGGUUUCUUUGGAACCAGGAAGUUCUCUCUUGUUUUCCAGAUGCCAACGAAUGCUGAUACUGUUGCUGUAGUUCACAUGUUCCCUUCUCACUCUGCUCCUUUGUCUGGGAUCCCUGUGGUAUCAUUGGUGUUACUGCUUUGGACAGGAAUCUUCUUCAGAUUAAUUUUUGUAAUUGCUUAUGAUGACCUUAACACAGUCACUGGCUGGUCACGGUCCCAUGCCCAUAUUGGCAGUACUGGGCAUCUAGUUAGUUUUACUUAUGAUCCUGUCACUAACUCUCCUGCAGCUUUUGUCUUAAUACACAAUGCUUCAGUACAUACCAUACACCUAAUCAUUGUGCUGGGACUGAAUCACAAUGGAGUUUUUUUGUUUAUUUUUUUCCCUGCAGAGGAGAAAGAAUCACAAAUGCUUGUGGAGAAAAAAGACUCAGGGAUUUCUUCUUCUUUCUUGCUAGCAGAUCUUGAUGCUCUCCUCUUCCUGCCAGUGGGCUGCGUGUCAUGCCAUAGUCCUGCAGUCUCCAGAAGUGACCCCACAUGCUACCAAAACAGAUCACAGACCUGGAUUCAGGCAUUCUUCAUUCUCCCACUGCACGAGCUGUCAUGGAGCAACGUGCUCCUCAAACGUAGUCAUUUUGUGAGGUUACACAGUGUUUGUGUACUUAUGUAGGAAUGGAAUGUUGUUUCUGCAUUAGAACUAAAACGUGAGUAUUUUACGUCAUUGUCUCUGCUCCAGUCUUGUGUUGUUUGUUUACUACUACUAAUUACUACUUAGUACUACUAAGUACUAACAGCUCUUUUUGGGAGUGUUUUUAUUUCAUCAGGAGUCUCUGAGGGUCUCCUUCACUUGCCUGUUUGAUGAAUUUUCCACAUUGGUGCUUGCUCAGUGGGUAGAUGGAGUAAUGAAUGUAUGGGUACAAGGACUGCUGCUGUUAUCUGUCCAGCCAUCUGGAAUACCUCUGAGCCUUGAGUUCCAGACAACAUAGACAUUGCGCUCCUAAACAUUACGAUAAUGCCUUUAGAAAUCCAAAACCCUUGACAAUGAUAUCAGUAGGCUCAUUAUGUUGCAAGACUACUGAUUUUUGAUGCUGGUCAGACAGGACCUCAGUGAUGAUAGAAAAUUUAAGGAGGAGAAUGUAAGCCAUUAGCAAUAGAUAAACAUUUAGCUAGCAACAGUUUCUAUUUAGCCAGUAUGCCCAUGUACAGUUAAGCAUCGGGAAGGUCUGUGAACCUGAAAUACUCAGGCAAUGAGGAAUCAGGGGAAAAGGUGAGCAUCAAGGUAAUAGGGCAUGUUCUUUGCUUUGUAAUAGGGUUUUGUUUGCUUUUCAUUCAGUAUCAUUUCUUACCAUUACGCAGCGUUUGUCUUGUCUUGUUUUUCAUGUUGCCAAUCAACAUUUAGUUGGAGCUUGGGUGACCCGAAUGCAUACAACUAAGUGUUGACCAAGUGUGAUGUGAAAUGAAGAGGUAGGCUCCAAAACAGGCUUCUAGUGAGUGCUGUGUACGACAUGGAGUAUCGAGAACUACCUCUGUUUCUCCCUGCCCCAUGUUGUUCAGUACCAGACGUGAAGGUUUCUUCUUUCCUUCUAGGGUUGGAGACUCCACUAUCAGAUGGCACUGGCCUUUCAAGCCUCCCCGGGUUGUAGCGCUGGUUGUGCCCUGAUCCUUGGAAAGGGGAACUGAUUCCUUCAUCAUUACCUGAUGGUGACGUCUACUUAUCUUGUGUCCAGUGAGCGGUGGUGGAAAAACUGCGGCUCUCCCGAGUGGUGCAAGGACUCUACUGAGGCUCAUUGUGUUUAUAGUAGAAAACUACAGCCAUAGAUGAAUGCCAAUAUCCACUCCUUACUCUGUCUGGCAAGCUGUGUUGAUCUCUGAAGUUGCUCCCACACUUGUAGAAGUUCUUUGGGCUCAGCAUCAGUUGUCUCUUGCACUCACAUGGCUUUCACCAGUUGGAGCUACAGUGAGCCCAAAUGGUGACUGCUCUGCUUUGACCAAGUGAGAUGCAAAAAGAAGAGGUAGGUUGCAAAACAGGCUUCUAGUGCGUGCCAUGUAAGACUUGGGGUAUCCAGAGUUAACUUCUUGUCUUUCUCCUUUUCCAGUUCCUUUUCCAGUUCCCUUUGAUUUUUCCCCCCUUUUUAUAAUUUUCAUUUCCUAAUCCACUUUCUAAUUCUACUGCUUUUCUUUUUUCCAAUUCCUUUUCCAAUUCCUUUUCCGAAUAGUUUUGCUUCAUUUUUUUUAUUUUUACCUUUUUCUUUUCUCUCCUUGUUCUUUUAUUUCCUUUUCUUUCUCUUUCUAAUUUGUUUUCUUAAGACUUUUUCAAAUCUUUUUUGUUUUGAAUUUUUUCUAUUUCUUUCUAGUUCUUUUUCUUUUGAUAAUUCUGUUUCCAAUUCUGUUUGUUUCCAAUUGUUUUUCUUCAUGUUCCUUUUCUUAGUCAUAUUCCUUUCCGUAUUUUAUUUUCUUCAACUUAUUACAAUUCCCAUUCCAAUUCUUUUUCCUUUAUUAAUUAUUUUUCCAUUCCCUUUUCUAAAUCUUUCCCUCUUUCUAAAUCUGUUUCUUCUUUCCUGUUUCUAAUUGUGAGAAUCCUUUGUUUUUUGGCUCAAAGCUUGCUUCCUGAGGUUUUUCUUGUGAUAAGACUCUCAAUGAUUUGUUAAGGAGGCAAGUGAUGGGUGCUAACCAUGUGACAAUCGGUAUCACUUUGGCAACAUUUGAAAGCCCCUUCCUCCAGAGCUGCUUGCCUCUGGAAUAGAGUGCUCAGGAGUGUUCACUGGCAGAAGAUCUGGCCUGUGACUAAAGAGCUCCAGCUUGGUAUGGGAAAAUUGGGGAAUUAUACCAUAGUGUUCUGUGAAAAACAAGAUGCAGAUGGGCAUCCCUGUUCCCUCUUGUCUGCUGGCAAGGCCCAGAAGAUGGGAACAAAGGAGUUUCUGCUGAGAUCCCAGAGCCAGAAGCUGCCGCUCCAAGGAGAGCUGACUCAACCACAUUGGAUUUGAGCUGUCACUCCAAAGACAGCUGACUCCGCUCCAAGGAGAGCUGACUCAACCACAUUGGAUUUGAGCUGUCACUCCAAAGACAGCUGACUCGACCACUUUGAAACUAUUGAAAAGGGGCUGUCAUCGCCAUGGUCAUGGCCGUCGUUCUCAUCAUUCUCCUCGUCGUCAACAGAACAAUGCCUGACGACCCACCACUACUGAAGAUCAAAGACUGAACUACAAACCACGCUAGAUCCAUGGUGGUGACUGUCUCCCUCUUGCUUCCUAUAAAGACUCCUUGCUUCUUCUUCUCUAUCUUUUCUAUCUUUCCUAUCGCCCUCCUUCCCUUCCCCAUUACCCUGAUUCGUAAUAACCUCCGUCCUCCCCUUCCCCAUUUCCCUAAUUACGAUUUGUAAUAAAUUGGUCGGACCAACA